rnacentral:lncRNA from 1 species
CGCAUAUAUAAUUGCGAAAAGCCUUCCCGCUAUUUUGUGUCAGCGAGUUCCACAGAAGCUGCCUGGAAAGACCGUGUGCUGAAGGAGUCCACGUCACCUGCCGGGAACAGGAGAACCAAGGGACAUGCUGCGAGCUACUGUGUUUGUCGUGUUAAUUUGUGGUUCGGUGCUUUAUAGCAGUACGGCCUUGAAAUCAGCGCCUAAGUGCACCAAGCCGGAUUGUUACAGACAGCCAAAUGGACAGAAUACAACCUGUACGAACCCAUGCGAGGCAUACUUCUGCAAGAAUGGAGAUCUCGUGACUCUAAAGUGCGUAGGAGCAGACGACCCUCUCUGCAAGCUCCUUACGGAGGUACUGGACCGUAUCCUGAUUGUUGUGGCCCAGUGAUGUGCAGCAAAUCCUCAGGAAAGAGCAGAUCUCGAAGGCUUUAAAUGACUUCGAGACCGCGGUCUAAAGAAAACUUGAAGGAUACAAGUUCACAAUGACUGAGCCCAAGCGACCAAGAGGGUGCACCAGGAAGUGUACGGAAGAUCAGACAGUUCCAGUCUCGUGUUUGUCUUGCAUUUCAUUUAUGUGACAAUUCCAUUACCUCACCAUUUGAAGAAAGUUUUAUUUCAUAUA